AACGCCGGCUCUUUGGCUUAGAAAUGGAGAUGAGCACCAACCCCCAGAGUUGGACACGAAUAGACUUAAUAAAUGGAGAUGAGCACCAACCCCCAGAGUGUGAGUAGAUCAAUAGGUGCCGCUCCGGCGGGAAGGUAACGGCGCUCCAUGCAGUCAUGCCAGUGGCCACAUGAGCUUGGAGGUGUCUAUGGACAAAGCCGGCUCUUUGGCUUAGAAAUGGAGAUGAGCACCAACCCCCAGAGUGUGAGUAGAUCAAUAGGUGCCGCUCCGGCGGGAAGGUAACGGCGGUCCAUGCAGUCAUGCCAGUGGCCACAUGACGUUGGAGGUGUCUAUGGACAAAGCCGGCUCUUUGGCUUAGAAAUGGAGAUGAGCACCAACCCCCAGAGUGUGAGUAGAUAAAUAGGUACUGCUCCGGCAGGAAGGUAACGGCACUCCAUGAAGUCAUGCCAGUGGCCACAUGAGCUUGGAGGUGUCUAUGGACAACGCCGGCUCUUUGGCUUAGAAAUGGAGAUGAGCACCAACCCCCAGAGUCAGACAUGACUGGACUUGACGUCAGGGGAAAACCUUUACCUUUAACUGUAGUUGUAUUUUUUGGAAUUUGCAAAAUAUUGCCUUAAGAUUGGAGAUAUUAAGCCUGCAUCUAUGUUGACUAAAAGCAACCUGGGCUUUUUUAAAAAUCGAGCCAGAUCCAGCGUUGUGUUGGAUAAAUCCGGACUCUGUCUGGAAUUCUGAAUCCAGCUGUUCUCAUGUCUCGGUGCUGCCUGGCUCGGCCUGACGGAGACAGAACCAGACCUGCCUGCAAACAAGUGACCUCCGCCGGGGCUUAGUAAACAAGUCACGCCAAAGCGCUGCCUCGGGUUCAGGGCCCUCGUUCCGGAGCGUCCACCUGCUCCCUGGAUGCCGGGAGCCCCGGUCAGGCACGCACGGCGCAUUAGCAAUGCAGCCCAUUUGCUAACACCCGGUUCCUCAUUCCCUCUCGUGCAGACCUGCUCUGGGCGACGAAUCCCACGGAGCGAAGAAGAAUCCCAAAAUAGCGACCUUUUUCUCCUUCUCCAGCCCUUUUAGACAAAGACGCCGUUCUUCCAAAUCAGGCCAAGUGUGUUUCCUCAUAUCAGGUAUCCAACAUAACCAUCUUCCCGCCAAGGAGUUCAAAGUUGUGUCUAAAGCCCCAUCAACACUGUCACAAAGUGUGGUAUUGCACUCGCAUUAACCUGGGCCGUCCAAUCAACGCACACGGGAAGCUAUGUGUAGACAAAAUGCAUCUCGGAGUCACAUGUUGUGGCUGUGUGGAAAUGCUCUAUGUCUCCUCUCUCACACACACAUUUGAUCCUCUUAUCAACAAUACCCGGGGCCCGGGGCUGUGGCGCAGACGGGAGAGCAAUGAGUCACUGACCAGGAGGUCAUAAGUUCGAGGCCCGCUCGGAGCUAUGUUUGUUUGUCUUUGUCCUGUGUUAAAAAGGCAGUGAAUGUUUGCCUAAUAUGUGUAAUGUGAUCCGCCCUGAGUCCCCUUCGGGGUGAGAAAGAAGGGCGGAAUAUAAAUGAUGUAAAUAAAUAAAUAAAUAAAAUACUGUGAAGGAGACUAAGCGAAAAGAUUAUCGAAUGGCUCAGCAAUACCAUAGGGCGCUUCCAGGCAGCACCAAAUUGCGGGGCAAAAAA